GAACUGACAGAUAAGAUUAUUAUUUUAAUUGAUUAUUAGUGCAUGACGUAGGAAUGAUUAGGUGUCAAAGUGAGGGUGUGAGUGAAAUAGUCACGAAAGAGAGCAGAGAGUUAGUUGAACAAUCGUAGUUGGACUGUGACAGUGAGUGAGAGAGAAAUUGUAUUUGUGAAAGAGAGAUAAUAGCCCGUGCGCUAUCUAUCUAUACGUAAUCGUGACCAUUGUGAACCUUUUAAUUUAAUUUUUUUUUAUAUAUCUUUGGUAAAUUUUAUGUUUUGUUUGAAUAUACAUUUUUGUUACUUCGAACAUUUGUGACUUGUCGAGGACUACAUUUUGGAGGCGAAUUCUCGACAUAGUGGCACCUCCUGAACGGGAUUCUACUGAAUCUGUGAUAUGAAUAUGGACGGGAAAGAGUUGACGAAUCUCGAAACGAAGCUAACGCAGCUGGAAAUCGCAACACAGAAGUCAAAAACAUUGCUGAGCUCAGGUAAGCGAGUAGCAAUUAAGCGACGCGUUACAAACAACGGCCAACGAGGCCAACGAGUGCAGACGCACUGUUGAGGCAUUUAAAAUCACAAACAAAGAAGAGCUUUCAGAAAACAAAAAAUGGAACGAUGACUUAGAUUUAAAGUUUGAGCCCGCUGACGCGGCUAUUCAAAACCUAGAACAUUUUCUUGCUGAGGCCAAAAAGGCCGAAAAGUUUGUGACGCACGAGGAAGAGUUAAAGCAUGAAAUGAUACUGCAUGAAAAGAGAAUGGAAAUGCAAUCCGAACUGUCUUCUGCUUCGUCUUCAGCCCCCAAACACCAAAAGGAAUGUAAAGAAUCCGAAGUAUUUUCGGCUGGGACUGCAAAAUUACCCAAACUCGUUAUCGCAAAGUUUGGUGGCUCUUUUACUGACUGGCCAAAGUUCUGGGGGCAAUUCUCUGAAGCGAUUGACAAAAGUUUGUUAGCGCCAAUAACGAAGUUUACGUAUCUGUUAGAGCUGCUUGAACCAAACGUAAAACGCGGUGUCGAAUCUCUUCCACUUAGCUCUGAGGGGUAUAAUAGAGCAAAAGUAAUUUUGAAAGAUAAAUACGGCAAAGAGUCAGAAAUAGAGAAAUGCUAUGUGAAGGAAAUUUUGGAUUUACCAAACAUUCCGGGAGCCAAUCCCCGUAAGAUCGCUAAUUACUUUUGUGAUAAACUUACGCAUUCAGUUCAAGCGCUCGAGACGAUGGGCAAACUUAGUAAUGUUAAUGGGAACGUAUCAAUGACCCUUGAUAAACUAUCGGGAAUUCGGGGGGAUUUGGUGCGCAACGACCCUGAGUGGGAUGCCUGGGAUUUUAUCAAACUAACUGAUGCCGUGAAUCAAUGGGUAAAGAGAAACCCCGUAACUAGCUCUGGAGGGUAACGGGAGGAGAACAAUGCAAGAAAACUCUUCCAUUCUCAAAAUCAGCGAUUUGUGCCCAGGGGAUGUGUUUACUGCGGUGAUUUGGGCCAUAAAGCCGUCCAAUGCGAAAACGUUAGUGAUGUAGGCGAAAGAAAGAAAAUACUGGCAAGAAAGGGUCUUUGUUUUAAUUGCGCAACGAAACCCCAUCGCGCUGCUGAUUGUACAAGUAAAUCUGCCUGCAGCCAAUGCGGCAAACGUCAUCACUCAUCCAUUUGUGAUCAAGCUAAACAUGCGUCCGGUGAUAAGAAGUUGAUGACAGAUGGUGGCAGUGGUGAGGGCAUAUUUCCUGUAGUUGUGAUUAAAGUAAAUGGUUUAACAUGCCGCGCGUUGAUAGACUCUGGCGCCGGGAGCUCUUAUGCCUCAGCUCAAUUAAUUAGUGCACUUGUCAUCAAGCCGAGUGAAAUUAAAGAUCAACAAAUUGAUAUGCUCUUGACAUCACGCAAAGCAAAGGUCGAGCAAUAUGACGUAACCAUCACUUCCUACGACGGAAGGCACGAAAUGAUGACGCGAUUAAACAAGGUCGAUAAGAGAGAGCUCUUGUUCAUUGAAAACCCUGAGUACGAGAAGUUGAUAAAGCGUUAUCAACACCUCAACGCGGUACAUAUGGACGAUCACGACACGAAAAGUCAACUACCCAUUCACGUCAUCCUCGGAAGCGGUGAAUAGGCCCGUAUAAAGACAGCAACGAAACCUCUUAUCGGGGGAGAAGGAGCCAGUGGCGGAGAGGACCAAGUUGGGAUGGAUGAUCCUCAGUCCUGGGGCCGAGUUUGACAAGACGAAAAUGUUCUUAACUCAGACAUCGCAAAUGGAUUUCGACAAGCUAUGCCGUCUAGACGUACUCGGUCUCGCAGACAGCGCAGAGAACGAUCAACUUCCUGUAUACGAAGAGUUUCAAGAACAACUCGAGAGAAGCCCCGAAGGAUGGUACGAAACUGGCCUGACCUGGAGAUCAAACAACCCCCCUCUGUCAACCAAUGAAAUGGGGAGUCGUCGACGCUUAGACAACUUGGUAAAGCGGCUGAAGGCCAGUGAUCAAUACGACCAGUAUAAUGACAUAAUUACUCAGCAGUUGGAAGAUGGGGUGAUCGAACUGGCUCCACAAGAAGCAAGUGACAAGGAAUUUUACAUUCCACACAAAGCGGUUGUCAAAAACACGGCUGAAACAACAAAGCUGCGUAUUGUUUACGAUGCUUCCGCCAAAGAAUCCAGGACAUCGCCGUCCUUGAACGAUUGUUUAAACCCCGGUCCCUCGUUGCAAAAUCUUCUUUGGUCCAUCUUGGUUCGUUCCCGAUUCCUCCCUAUCCUGCUCACUGGCGAUCUUGAGAAAGCAUUUCUUCAGGUGAGAAUCAAAGAAGCUGAACGUGAUGCACUCAGGUUUCAUUGGAAAGCACCUCGAAGCGAUGAUACAGUCGUGUACCGAUUUACAAGAGCGUUGUUUGGCCUCACAUGUUCGCCUUUCCUUCUGAACGGUGUAUUGAACGAACAUUUGAAAUCAUGGGAGACAAAACGUCCUGAACUCGUGGAAGAGAUACGCAAGAACCUUUACGUUGACGACCUUAUGACGGGGGGAGCGACCAUAACGGAAGUAAAGGAAAAGAAGAGUCAAGCCAGAGAAAUCUUCGAAGACGUUCAAACUGCACAAAUGGCACUUGAAUGUGAAAAAAUUGGAAAGUCCAACAACGAAUGACGAGGAAAUAACAUUCGCGAAGCAAGAGCUUGGAGAUGAGAAACCGCGGACCAAACUGCUUGGGCUUUCAUGGGACAAGUCGAAAGACAGUCUAAGCGUUACACUUGAUCACGAAGGUUAUGGCACAACAAAGAGAAGUGUGUUAUCCCAACUCGCCAAAAUAUACGAUCCACUAGGGUUGGUCUCUCCUAUGACGUUGCAAGGAAAGAAUCUCUUCCGUGAAAUGUGUGAAGCCCGUAUUCCUUGGGAUGGUGAAUUACCCGAGACCUCGAAGCAACGCUGGGAAGAGUGGUACACAGGACUCCCACAAAGUUACGAGAUUCCACGAUCCUUAGCUCCCCACCAGGAGCUCGUUGCAGCGAUCACACUUCAUGCCUUUGGCGAUGCAAGCAAAGUUGGAGUGUCGGCCGUGGUAUAUGCAGUUGUAGAGCAAGAACAUGGAACAACGCAAGGGUUGGUGUGCGCGAAAUCUCGAUUGGCGAAGCGUAAUCUCUCCAUACCUCGUCUAGAACUCGUUGCCGGACACAUGGCAGUGAACUUGCUAUCAAACGUGGAGAAUGAAAUCGAUCAAAAAUUAGUCUCGUCGGUCCAUUGCUGGUUGGACUCCACAGUAGCGCUCUACUGGAUCAAUGGUCAAGGAGAAUAUCGCCAGUUCGUUGCCAACCGCGUUGCCAAGAUCCAAACCCACACUCGUGUGAAAUGGCAUCACGUACCAACGAAACAAAAUCCUGCUGACUUAGGUAGUCGCGGUGGAAGUGUUGUUGGAAACGACCUUUGGGAAAAUGGUCCACAGUGGCUGAAAGACCCCGCAAAGUGGCCACCAAAUCCAGUGCUCGAAGCGAAUCGAGAAGUGGAAGAGGAACUAAAACCGACCAAGAAUCAACAAGCACUAACAACGCUCAAGCAAUCGAUCACCAUCGACAUAUGGGAAGAGUUGCUCAAGAAGGUUUCUCUCCGGAAGGCCCUGAGAAUUCGUGCCCAAUUCAGCCGGUUUGCAAAGAAUCGUAAGGUAUCCUGCGAAAAUCGGAAAACAGGACCGUUAACGUCGGAAGAAAUCGAAGAAAGUGAACUUUGGGCGAUUAAAAGAACGCAAAGUGAAGUCAAGAAAGAUCCUGAAUUCCACGACAUCCAACUUCAAUUGAACAUUCAGCUUAACGGAAACGGAGUACUCGAAUGUCGCGGUCGCAUUGAAGGAGAUUUCCCCGUGUACUUGCCUCGCAGUUCCACCUUAGCCAAGAAAGUAGUCGAACGAGCACAUCUAGUAACCCUCCACGGUGGUGUCGCUAUGGUCAUGGCAAAAGUACGUGAGCGAUUUUGGAUUCCAAAACUGCGACGGUUGGUGAAGCAAGUGCGGAAAGAUUGUUACGGGUGCGUGAGAUUUAGAGCUCAAGCAUAUAAGAAACCUCCACCUGGGAAGCUGCCAAUCACGAGAACGCAAGGUUCAACCCCGUUCCAAGUCAUUGGAGUAGAUUUUGCGGGUCCAAUACGCUACCGGACUAAAGCAAAGGCGGAGAAGAAGGCAUACCUGGUGCUUUAUGGCUGCAGUUUGACGCGUGCAGUGCAUCUCGAGAUCUUACGGUCACUGGAAGUUGCGGAGUUCAUGCCAAGUCUGAAAAGGCUCAUCGCAAGACGUGGUCGCCCAAAGAUUAUAUAUUCCGACAACGCGAAUACCUUUAAGGCUGCCGACAAAUGGCUGAAGAAAGCACAAACGGACGAGAAGUUUAACGCAUUCCUGGCUGACAACGCAAUCGAGUGGAGGUUCAACCUUAGUCGUGCGCCAUGGUGGGGAGGCCAAUUUGAACGCCUCAUUGGUCUCUUCAAAAGAGCGUUCUACAAAACGAUCGGUAACGGAACGUUGACCUUAGACGAAUUAGAGGAAGUAGUAUUGGAUGUGGAAGUGGCUCUCAAUAAUCGUCCGUUGACCUAUCUAGAAGAUGACAUCCAAUUACCAGUACUUACACCUUCCUCAAUGCUGAACAUUAACCCUUGUGUCCUACCUGAAGCUGAUCCCCACUACCUGGAAGAUAGAGAUUUACGAAAACGUGCGAGACUAUUACGGAAAAGUAAAGAGGCGAUGUGGAAACGUUGGUCCCAAGAGUAUGUUCGAAGCCUGCGCGAACGCCAUAACCAACGAGUCGGCCAACAGACCUCCUAUCCAAAGAUGGAGGAGAUCGUCAUAAUUCGGGACGAAGACAAAAAACGUCAUGCAUGGAAACUCGGAGUCGUGUCCAGGGUGAUGAAAGGGAGAGAUGAUGUGAUACGGGGAGCUAGUAUACGGACCUCGAACGGGAAUAUCGAGCGAGCGGUCCAGCAUAUUUAUCCCUUAGAGCUAUCCUGCGACGAGACAAAGUGGACCCCCAACCCGGAAGCACCAACCUUUACCCCACGUCCGACCAGGGAUGCAGCAGAAGCAGCGAAGAUACGGUUGAAGCAAGUCGCGAAUGCGGAAGAACACUGAUGCGAGACAUUUAUUAUAACUUUAUUCCAUAUUAACUUUAUAUAUUCUAUUUGUUAGGUAGUAAAUGAUGAACUACAGCAACGAAGUCAGUCCCUUCAAGGACAUAUACCUCAAUUCUGAGCUAUAUGGGGGAGUGUGUCGGGAACUGACAGAUAAGAUUAUUAUUUUAAUUGAUUAUUAGUGCACGACGUUGGAAUGAUUAGGUGUCAAAGUGAGGGUGUGAGUGAAAUAGUCACGAAAGAGAGCAGAGAGUUAGUUGAACAAUCGUAGUUGGACUGUGACAGUGAGUGAGAGAGAAAUUGUGAACCUUUUAAUUUUGUUAUAUAUCUUUGGUAAAUUUUAUGUUUUGUUUGAAUAUACAAUUUUGUUACUUCGAACAGUUGUGACUUGUCGAGGACUACAUUUUGGAGGCGAAUUCUCGACA